UACUUUUACUAUUUUUAAAUUUUUAACAAGUUUUCGCCUUUAAAAUUAAUUGUACAUAAUAAUUAUGUUCUCGUUGUGAGUGUAUUUAUGUAGCGUAACAGUGUCCAACACCUAGUUUUCGUGUCUUGUCCGUAACGCAAUGGACAAUGCCUAUGCUAUGUAUACAAAUGUUAUAAUAUUAAAUAUUCAUUUCGCAACCCCGACUUUUUAGCGGAAAAAUAAUUUAUGAUAAUAUUAUUAUACGUG